rnacentral:rRNA from 1 species
UGACGAGUGGCGGACGGGUGAGUAAUGUCUGGGAAACUGCCUGAUGGAGGGGGAUAACUACUGGAAACGGUAGCUAAUACCGCAUAACGUCGCAAGACCAAAGAGGGGGACCUUCGGGCCUCUUGCCAUCGGAUGUGCCCAGAUGGGAUUAGCUAGUAGGUGGGGUAACGGCUCACCUAGGCGACGAUCCCUAGCUGGUCUGAGAGGAUGACCAGCCACACUGGAACUGAGACACGGUCCAGACUCCUACGGGAGGCAGCAGUGGGGAAUAUUUGCACAAUGGGCGCAAGCCUGAUGCAGCCAUGCCGCGUGUAUGAAGAAGGCCUUCGGGUUGUAAAGUACUUUCAGCGGGGAGGAAGGGAGUAAAGUUAAUACCUUUGCUCAUUGACGUUACCCGCAGAAGAAGCACCGGCUAACUCCGUGCCAGCAGCCGCGGUAAUACGGAGGGUGCAAGCGUUAAUCGGAAUUACUGGGCGUAAAGCGCACGCAGGCGGUUUGUUAAGUCAGAUGUGAAAUCCCCGGGCUCAACCUGGGAACUGCAUCUGAUACUGGCAAGCUUGAGUCUCGUAGA